rnacentral:rRNA from 1 species
AACGAACGCUGGCGGCAUGCCUAACACAUGCAAGUCGAACGAGACCUUCGGGUCUAGUGGCGCACGGGUGCGUAACGCGUGGGAACCUGCCCUUAGGUUCGGAAUAACUCCCCGAAAGGUGUGCUAAUACCGGAUAAUGUCUUCGGACCAAAGAUUUAUCGCCUUUGGAUGGGCCCGCGUUGGAUUAGCUAGUUGGUAGUGUAAAAGCCUACCAAGGCGACGAUCCAUAGCUGGUGUGAGAGGAUGACCUUCCACACUGGGACUGAGACCCGGCCCAGAACCGGACGGGAGGCAGCAGUGGGGAAUAUUGGACGAUGGGCGAAAGCCUGAUCCAGCAAUGCCGCGUGAGUGAUGAAGGCCUUAGGGUUGUAAAGCUCUUUUACCCGGGUUGAGAAUGACAGUACCGGGAGAAUAAGCUCCGGCUAACUCCGUG